rnacentral:rRNA from 1 species
GACGGAAGGUGCAAGCGUUGCUCGGAAUUACUGGGCGUAAAGCGUGCGCAGGCGGUUGUGCAAGACAGAUGUGAAAUCCCCGGGCUCAACCUGGGAACUGCAUUUGUGACUGCACGGCUGGAGUGCGGCAGAGGGGGAUGGAAUUCCGCGUGUAGCAGUGAAAUGCGUAGAUAUGCGGAGGAACACCGAUGGCGAAGGCAAUCCCCUGGGCCUGCACUGACGCUCAUGCACGAAAGCGUGGGGAGCAAACAGG